CCUACGGGAGGCAGCAGUGAGGAAUAUUGGUCAAUGGGCUUACGCCUGAACCAGCCAAGUCGCGUGAGGGAAGACUGCCCUAUGGGUUGUAAACCUCUUUUGUCAGGGAGCAAUUGGCGCUACGUGUAGCGUUAUCGAGAGUACCUGAAGAAAAAGCAUCGGCUAACUCCGUCCCAGCAGCCGCGGUACUACGGAGGAUGCGAGCGUUAUCCGGAUUUAUUGGGUUUAAAGGGUGCGUAGGCGGAAUGCCAAGUCAGCGGUAAAAUCGCGGGGCUCAACCUCGCUCCGCAGUUGAAACUGGCGUUCUUGAGUGGGCGAGAAGUAUGCGGAAUGCGUGGUGUAGCGGUGAAAUGCAUAGAUAUCACGCAGAACUCCGAUUGCGAAGGCAGCAUACCGGCGCCCAACUGACGCUGAAGCACGAAAGCGUGGGUAUCGAACAGGAUUAGAUACCCGUGUAGUC
rnacentral:rRNA from 1 species